rnacentral:rRNA from 1 species
UACGUAGGGUCCAAGCGUUAUCCGGAAUCACUGGGCGUAAAGCGUGCGUAGGUGGUUUGUUAAGUGUGAUGUUAAAUCGUGGGGCUCAACCCUAUCGAUGCAUCGCAUACUGGCAGACUAGAGGGAAGCAGAGGCAAGUGGAAUUUGUAGUGUAGCAGUGAAAUGCGUAGAUAUUACAAGGAACACCAAUGGCGAAGGCAGCUUGCUGGGCUUCUUCUGACACUGAGGUACGAAAGCGUGGGGAGCGAACAGG